rnacentral:rRNA from 1 species
AACGAACGCUGGCGGCAUGCCUAACACAUGCAAGUCGAACGGGAUCCUAGCUUGCUAGGUGAGAGUGGCGGACGGGUGAGUAACACGUGGGAAUCUGCCUUUUGGUUCGGGAUAACCGCGGGAAACUGCGGCUAAUACCGAAUGCCCUCGAGAGAGGAAAGAUUUAUCGCCAGAAGAGGAGCCCGCGUCCGAUUAGGUAGUUGGUGGGGUAAAGGCCUACCAAGCCGACGAUCGGUAGCUGGUCUGAGAGGAUGAUCAGCCACACUGGGACUGAGAUACGGCCCAGACUCCUACGGGAGGCAGCAGUGGGGAAUAUUGGACAAUGGGGCAACCCUGAUCCAGCAAUGCCGCGUGAGUGAUGAAGGCCUUAGGGUU